rnacentral:rRNA from 1 species
AUUCCAGCUCCAAUAGCGUAUAUUAAAGUUGUUGCAGUUAAAAAGCUCGUAGUUGGAUUUCUGGUGGGAGCGUUGGGCCGGCCCUAAGGGUCUGAGCUCAAAUGUUUUCCGCCAUCCUUGGAGGGAUGUUGUCUGGCAUUAAGUUGUCGGGCUUCCGAUCUCCAUCGUUUACUGUGAAAAAAUUAGAGUGUUCAAAGCAGGCUUAUGCCGUUGAAUACAUUAGCAUGGAAUAAUAAGAUAGGACCUUGGUACUAUUUUGUUGGUUUGCGUACCUAGGUAAUGAUUAAUAGGGACAGUUGGGGAUAUUACUAUUUCGUUGUCAGAGGUGAAAUUCUUGGAUUUACGAAAGAGUAACUACUGCAAAAGCAUUUAUCAAGGAUGUUUUCAUCA